rnacentral:rRNA from 1 species
CCUACGGGAGGCAGCAGUGGGGAAUAUUGCACAAUGGGCGAAAGCCUGAUGCAGCGACGCCGCGUGAGGGAUGACGGCCUUCGGGUUGUAAACCUCUUUCAGCAGGGAAGAAGCGCAAGUGACGGUACCUGCAGAAGAAGCACCGGCUAACUACGUGCCAGCAGCCGCGGUAAUACGUAGGGUGCGAGCGUUGUCCGGAAUUAUUGGGCGUAAAGAGCUCGUAGGCGGUCUGUCGCGUCGGAUGUGAAAGCCCGGGGCUUAACCCCGGGUCUGCAUUCGAUACGGGCAGACUAGAGUGUGGUAGGGGAGAUCGGAAUUCCUGGUGUAGCGGUGAAAUGCGCAGAUAUCAGGAGGAACACCGGUGGCGAAGGCGGAUCUCUGGGCCAUUACUGACGCUGAGGAGCGAAAGCGUGGGGAGCGGACAGGAUUAGAUACCCUGGUAGUCCACGCCGUAAACGUUGGGAACUAGGUGUUGGCGACAUUCCACGUCGUCGGUGCCGCAGCUAACGCAUUAAGUUCCCCGCCUGGGGAGUACGGCCGCAAGGCUAAAACUCAAAGGAAUUGACGG